rnacentral:rRNA from 1 species
UUAAGCGACUAAGCGUACACGGUGGAUGCCCUGGCAGUCAGAGGCGAUGAAGGACGUGCUAAUCUGCGAAAAGCGUCGGUAAGGUGAUAUGAACCGUUAUAGCCGGCGAUGUCCGAAUGGGGAAACCCAGUGCAAUUCGUUGCACUAUCGUUAACUGAAUACAUAGGUUAACGAGGCGAACCGGGGGAACUGAAACAUCUAAGUACCCCGAGGAAAAGAAAUCAACCGAGAUUCCCCCAGUAGCGGCGAGCGAACGGGGAGCAGCCCAGAGUCUGAAUCAGCUUGUGUGUUAGUGGAACGGUCUGGAAAGUCCGACGGUACAGGGUGAUAGUCCCGUACACCAAAAUGCACAGGCUGUGAACUCGAAGAGUAGGGCGGGACACGUGGUAUCCUGUCUGAAUAUGGGGGGACCAUCCUCCAAGGCUAAAUACUCCUGACUGACCGAUAGUGAACCAGUACCGUGAGGGAAAGGCGAAAAGAACCCCGGCGAGGGGAGUGAAAAAGAACCUGAAACCGUGUACGUACAAGCAGUGGGAGCACCUUCGGGUGUGACUGCGUACCUUUUGUAUAAUGGGUCAGCGACUUAUAUUCUGUAGCAAGGUUAACCGUAUAGGGGAGCCGCAGGGAAACCGAGUCUUAACUGGGCGUUAAGUUGCAGGGUAUAGACCCGAAACCCGGUGAUCUAGCCAUGGGCAGGUUGAAGGUUGGGUAACACUAACUGGAGGACCGAACCGACUAAUGUUGAAAAAUUAGCGGAUGACUUGUGGCUGGGGGUGAAAGGCCAAUCAAACCGGGAGAUAGCUGGUUCUCCCCGAAAGCUAUUUAGGUAGCGCCUCGUGAAUUCAUCUUCGGGGGUAGAGCACUGUUUCGGCUAGGGGGUCAUCCCGACUUACCAACCCGAUGCAAACUACGAAUACCGAAGAAUGUUAUCACGGGAGACACACGGCGGGUGCUAACGUCCGUCGUGAAGAGGGAAACAACCCAGACCGCCAGCUAAGGUCCCAAAGUCAUGGUUAAGUGGGAAACGAUGUGGGAAGGCACAGACAGCCAGGAUGUUGGCUUAGAAGCAGCCAUCAUUUAAAGAAAGCGUAAUAGCUCACUGGUCGAGUCGGCCUGCGCGGAAGAUGUAACGGGGCUAAACCAUGCACCGAAGCUGCGGCAGCGACACUAUGUGUUGUUGGGUAGGGGAGCGUUCUGUAAGCCUGCGAAGGUGACCUGUGAGGGUUGCUGGAGGUAUCAGAAGUGCGAAUGCUGACAUAAGUAACGAUAAAGCGGGUGAAAAGCCCGCUCGCCGGAAGACCAAGGGUUCCUGUCCAACGUUAAUCGGGGCAGGGUGAGUCGACCCCUAAGGCGAGGCCGAAAGGCGUAGUCGAUGGGAAACAGGUUAAUAUUCCUGUACUUGGUGUUACUGCGAAGGGGGGACGGAGAAGGCUAUGUUAGCCGGGCGACGGUUGUCCCGGUUUAAGCAUGUAGGCUGGUUAUCCAGGCAAAUCCGGAUAAUCAAGGCUGAGGUGUGAUGACGAGGCACUACGGUGCUGAAGUAACAAAUGCCCUGCUUCCAGGAAAAGCCUCUAAGCAUCAGGUAACAUCAAAUCGUACCCCAAACCGACACAGGUGGUCAGGUAGAGAAUACCAAGGCGCUUGAGAGAACUCGGGUGAAGGAACUAGGCAAAAUGGUGCCGUAACUUCGGGAGAAGGCACGCUGGUGUGUAGGUGAAGCCCCUGCGGGUGGAGCUGAGACCAGUCGAAGAUACCAGCUGGCUGCAACUGUUUAUUAAAAACACAGCACUGUGCAAACACGAAAGUGGACGUAUACGGUGUGACGCCUGCCCGGUGCCGGAAGGUUAAUUGAUGGGGUUAUCCGUAAGGAGAAGCUCUUGAUCGAAGCCCCGGUAAACGGCGGCCGUAACUAUAACGGUCCUAAGGUAGCGAAAUUCCUUGUCGGGUAAGUUCCGACCUGCACGAAUGGCGUAAUGAUGGCCAGGCUGUCUCCACCCGAGACUCAGUGAAAUUGAACUCGCUGUGAAGAUGCAGUGUACCCGCGGCAAGACGGAAAGACCCCGUGAACCUUUACUAUAGCUUGACACUGAACAUUGAGCCUUGAUGUGUAGGAUAGGUGGGAGGCUUUGAAGCGUGGACGCCAGUCUGCGUGGAGCCAACCUUGAAAUACCACCCUUUAAUGUUUGAUGUUCUAACGUUGGCCCCUGACCGGGGUUGCGGACAGUGUCUGGUGGGUAGUUUGACUGGGGCGGUCUCCUCCCAAAGCGUAACGGAGGAGCACGAAGGUUAGCUAAUCCUGGUCGGACAUCAGGAGGUUAGUGCAAUGGCAUAAGCUAGCUUGACU